GAUGAACGCUGGCGGCGUGCUUAACACAUGCAAGUCGAACGAGAAGUGAAGACGGAAACCUUCGGGCGGAAGGCUUUAUUUCGAGUGGCGGACGGGUGAGUAACGCGUGGGUAACCUGCCUCAUACAGGGGGAUAACAGUUGGAAACGACUGUUAAUACUGCAUAAGACCACAGCACCGCAUGGUGCGGGGGUAAAAACUCCGGUGGUAUGAGAUGGACCCGCGUUCGAUUAGCCAGUUGGCGGGGUAACGGCCCACCAAAGCGGCGAUCGAUAGCCGAUCUGAGAGGAUGACCGGCCACAUUGGGACUGAGACACGGCCCAAACUCCUACGGGAGGCAGCAGUGGGGAAUAUUGCACAAUGGGGGAAACCCUGAUGCAGCGACGCCGCGUGAGUGAAGAAGUAUUUCGGUAUGUAAAGCUCUAUCAGCAGGGAAGAAAAUGACGGUACCUGAGUAAGAAGCCCCGGCUAACUACGUG
rnacentral:rRNA from 1 species